GACGAACGCUGGCGGCGUGCUUAACACAUGCAAGUCGAGCGGUAAGGCCUUUCGGGGUACCCGAGCGGCGAACGGGUGAGUAACACGUGGGUGAUCUGCCCUGCACUUCGUGAUAAGCCUGGGAAACUGGGUCUAAUACCGGAUAUGACCUCCUAUCGCAUGGUGGGUGGUGGAAAGAUUUAUCGGUGCAGGAUGGGCCCGCGGCCUAUCAUCUUGUUGUUGGGGUAAUGGCCUACCAAGGCGACGACGGGUAGCCGACCUGAGAGGGUGACCGGCCACCCUGGGCCUGAGAAACGGCCCAGACUCCAACGGGAGGCAGCAGUGGGGAAUAUUGCACAAUGGGCGAAAGCCUGAUGCAGAGACGCCGCGUGAGGGAUGACGGCCUUCGGGUUGUAAACCUCUUUAAGCAGGGACGAAGCGCAAGUGACGGUACCUGCAGAAGAAGCACCGGCUAACUACGUG
rnacentral:rRNA from 1 species